AUUUUGAUAGAGAAGCAGAUAGUAGUAGUAGUAGUAAAGUCAGACAUUUAAUAUGUUAAAAAACAAUACAGAAAUAAAAUGAAUUGAAUAUUUGCAAGCACGCACACACAUGCACACAAAUAACUUCAACAGAACGCCGGGUGUUUGCACCAAAGAGGGUCUAACUAACCAUGCAGUGCAGAAUGUAACUCUCCACUUGUAACCCACUCCUGCCAAGGCUUCGUUGAGUCUCGUCUUAAGAGCGGUAGGAGGAGCAGGCGUGACCACGAUCCUAGUUGAAAGAGAUGAACAUGGUUUGAGUAAAGUUUCAUUUCACAAACAUCACUUUGACACUAGUUUAUGGCCCACAUGCCUACUUAUAGUCAUCGCCUCUCAAAGCCACUGCCAGCACCGUGUGUGUGUGUCAGGAAGGCAUGUUCAACGUGUCUUCACGUGUGUGUGUGUGUAAUAUGAGUGGCAGCAAACAAGUGAGAUUCUAAUAUGUCCAAAACAUUAUUAUAUGACGUUUAAAGUAGAAAUAUUCACAUCCUUAGGCUGAGGCUGUGGGUGUGAGGUUGCCAUUUCUUGGGAAUCCUGAGAGGCCACAGACAGACAUUCAUCAGGUCUUCUGGAGGUAGAGGUGAACCGGGAAGCUGAAGACUGAUGGAAUAACACCAUCUCGGAGUGGGACAAUCUGACCCGUCUUAUCAAAGUCCCUCUGCUUGAAGUGUUCACAGCGAAGCACUGAUGAAUCACUUGCUAUAGAAGAUAAAGAAACAUCCCAGUAGAGCUGCUGUCAGUCCCAGU
ensembl:lncRNA